AGCAGCAUGGCGCAGUGGUAGCGCGCGGGGCCCAUAUAAGCUCUUUCAACAGAAAGGGAGUUUGGUACCCCGAGGUCACUUGAUCGAAACAAGUUGCUGCUA